CGUGCAAUAAAAAAGUAUAAAGAUUUUAAUUUGUAUUACACAAGCCAAGGUUCUCUCCUCCCAAUCACAAGAAGUAGCUCUCAUCACCCUUAGAAUGACCUUUCCUAAUCUGUGUGAUGAAAAAACCCUUAUGGCCUCGUUCCUUAUCACACUUUCAGCAUCACACACACACACAACACACACACACAUACCAUGUAGCGAAGUGGUUACCACGCUGGGCUCACAACCAAGAAGGCCCGGAUUCGAAUCCCGGGCGCGGCGAGGCAAAUGAGCGAGCCUCUUAAUGUGUAGCCCCUGUUCACCUAGCAGCAAGUAGGUACGGGAUGUAACCCAAGGGGUUGUGACCUCGGUGUCCCGGUGUGUGGUGUGUCAGUGGUCUCAGUCCUACCCAAAGAUCGGUCACUAUGAGCUCUGAGUUCUUUCCGUAGUGGAACAGUGGAAUGACUGGCUUGGGACCAGCAGUCGACCGUAGGUGAAUCACACACACACACACAGACACACACACUGAGAACUUCCUGUCUGCCUGUCAGGAUCAGAGUCAGAACUCAGAGGAUAUCCUGGCAUCACCGGGUCACCACGCGCCUCCUCGCGGCGACACACUACAGUGACUACACACUACAUACCUGACACACUACAAGCCUCCAGACAUGAAGAACACGCCCGCCUUCCUCCUCCUCUUCCUCCUCCUUCUGCUGCUGUUAUUGGCGCAGGGGAGAUACCAAACCCGUGCCCUGGCCCUGCAAUGUUCCCCCAGUUUCCAAACCGUGGACCAUGAAUACUCCUACAUUACCAGUGCAUCCACAACCAAAGGUGACCAAAUAAGCAGAACCAUGUAUGUGCGUCCACAGCGAUACUUGAAAGUCAUGCUGAGAGUGUUUGAAAGCGCCAAGUUUUGGCACCAAGUUUUUGGCUACUACACCUGCGAGUUCUUCCUGGAAAAAGACUGUUUCAAGGGUGACCGGCUGUGGUGGGACGAACUGUGGGUGUGGGUGAAAGAUAUGGGCACAUACAUAUAUUACAGCCAAGUGUGGACAACAUACGAAUUUCAAGUGAGGACAAGCACGUGUAUCAAGCCGUGUAUCAGGAAACUCAACAUGCAAGGUGUUGGCAGCCUCCAGGUCUGGGCUUCCGGCGCCUCACAAUGGAGACUUGACCACCCGGGGGCACAAUGCAGCCACAUCUAUCAAUGGAGGAGAGACAGCUACUGGUGGCCCUUCCCCACGUGCAAAGAUGUAACCCUUUCAUCGCUCUUAAUAACUCCUGUCAAGCACACAACCCCUACCAAUCCCGCAACAACCCCUAACAACCCCACAACAAUCCCUACCACGGCCACAGCAAUCCCUGCCACACCCACAACAACCCCUGCCACGGCCACAUCGCAUGCAUGCACGCUCCCAUUCACUGUGACCCCCGGAGUCGUAGAAGGCGUACUUGCAGUAACAGUAGUUGUGGUGGUGAUAGUGGUGGUGGUGGUGGUGGUGAAGCAGCGUGGUGAGGCAGCAGUGGAAGCUGUACCAGUGCGCCCACGGAACACACAGUAGAAUCACCACGUGAAUAAGAUGUCAGCAGCCUGCAUGAACCUGCUGCUGACAGACAAGACUCCCGAGUCUUUUCUUCCUUGCUUUUAUUUAUCGUUUUUUUUUUUUUAUUUUAUAAUCCCAUGAAGGCUCUUUUUGCUCUUUCCUAUUUCUAGUAUAAGACAUUUUUUUAGCAAUUAAUUGUUGUUUCAAACACAUCACAGUGCUUUUAUGAUGGAAAACUGAUCAUAUAUCUUGUCUAAGCUCUACUGUUAAGUUCUCUGUGAAAAGAGCAAAAUAAAAAGUUAGUGUGUUUACAUUUUCGUUUCACUUUCCAACCAUUCUGCCUGUCUGCGUUGCAAGGAGAGGCGGCACACGUCUCCGUGAGGGCGAGGCACGCAGGCCGCCGCGCCACGCACACCAGCCCCGGGAAGUUGUGUCCCAUUGCCCAAAAUGUUUCGUAAAAAAGAAAAGAAAAAGGUAUUAUUUUAUUCCUUCAUCAUUAGGCUCUAGAGCAGGGCUUCCCAACCUGGGGCACAUGUACCCCCAGUGGUACACGUGCACGUUUGUGGGGUACAUUGGGUGUCAGACAAUAACCACUGCUGUGCAAUGCUUGGUCUUGUAACCUACAGUCACAUUGCACAUUGUCGUGUUUUUUUCUCAAUUUCCUCAU